CCUGCUCCAGAGGCAUUGCAAGUGUGAAUGCUCUGUCACAUGUGUGUCCGUAGAGGGCAGAGAAGAGAAAGCUUUUAUCUAUUUUCAGGGUUCUGACCUAUGAACAUCAUAAUGAUUAGUUGCCUAGCAUU